GUUCCUACGGGGCGCAGCAGUGAGGAAUAUUGGUCAAUGGCCGGAAGGCUGAACCAGCCAAGCCGCGUGAAGGACGAAGGUGCCAAGCAUUGUAAACUUCUUUUGUCAAGGGACAAAAUCAGGCUCGAGAGCCUGACCGAGGAUACUUGAAGAAAAAGCAUCGGCUAACUCCGUGCCAGCAGCCGCGGUAAUACGGAGGAUGCGAGCGUUAUCCGGAUUUAUUGGGUUUAAAGGGCGUGCAGCCGGAGAGACAAGUCAGAUGUGAAAUCCAGGGGCUCAACCCGUGAAC
rnacentral:rRNA from 1 species